ACCACAAGUUCUGUCAUGUGUUUUCUUCA
rnacentral:piRNA from 1 species